UACAGAGGGUGCGAGCGUUAAUCGGAAUUACUGGGCGUAAAGCGUGCGUAGACGGUUAUUUAAGUCGGAUGUGAAAGCCCCGGGCUCAACCUGGGAAUUGCAUUCGAGACUGAAUAGCUAGAGUGCGGUAGAGGGAAGCGGAAUUUCCGGUGUAGCGGUGAAAUGCGUAGAUAUGCGGAGGAACACCGAUGGCGAAGGCAAUCCCCUGGGCCUGCACUGACGCUCAUGCACGAAAGCGUGGGGAGCAAACAGG
rnacentral:rRNA from 1 species